rnacentral:misc_RNA from 1 species
AGUCGUAACAAGGUCUCCGUUGGUGAACCAGCGGAGGGAUCAUUACCGAGUUUACAACUCCCAAACCCUAUGAACAUACCUAUCGUUGCCUCGGCGGUGCCCGCUCCGGCGGCCCGCCGGAGGACCCCAAACUCUUGUUUAUACAGUAUCUUCUGAGUAACACGAUUAAAUAAAUCAAAG